rnacentral:lncRNA from 1 species
ACUGCCUCCUCAGCCUCUGCUGCUCUUAGAACAAUUUCUUCCUCUGCUAAGCUAACCUCUAGCUUUCCAACUACUACUGCUUCUCAAAAGAUCAGACCUUUUAAACUCCCUAACCCCCUAAUUUCCCAAUCUCUUAAACUCAGCACCUCCACUAGCUCCAAGUCAUUUUACUGCAAGAGUCAGAGCAGCUCAACUGAUUCCACUACAAGUAAGAACAUUUAACUUCUGUAUCACAUAAUAUCAAUCACCUUAUGUGCAAUCUAUGAUACAUACUCAAAAUUUCUUGCGUUUUUAUUUUUUUUGUUGAUUUCAGCUAAAGUUCAAGAACUUAGUGUCUACGAGCUCAAUGAGCGUGACCGUGGUAGCCCUGCUUAUCUUCGCUUGAGCCAAAAGUCUGUCAAUUCCCUUGGAGAUCUUGUCCCCUUUAGCAACAAAGUACGUUCCUUUUUGGUUCUCACAAAAGGAGUAAAAAAAAAACGAAUCUUUUCUUUAUAUUUUAUUCUUAUGCUGAUCCUUGAUAUAAUAUUUCAGCUAUAUACCGGAGACCUAAAGAAGAGAAUUGGAAUAACAGCAGGACUCUGCAUUUUGAUCAAACACGAAGAGGAAAAGAAAGGGGAUCGGUAUGAAGCUAUUUACAGCUUCUACUUCGGCGAUUAUGGUCACAUCGCCGUUCAGGGAUCGUACUUGACUUACGAGGACACUUAUCUUGCAGUUACCGGUGGAUCCGGCAUCUUUGCUGGGGUUUCCGGUCAAGUCAAAUUGCAGCAAAUCAUUUUCCCUUUCAAGCUAUUUUACACUUUUUACUUGAAGGGUAUUCCGGAUCUGCCGUCUGAGUUGAUGGUUACGGCGGUUCCUCCGUCGCCGACGGUGGAGCCAGCACCUGAAGCUAAAGCUUGUGAGGCUGGGGCCACUGUGAAAAAUUUCACUAAUUGAGUGGGGUGUUGAUGUGCAAGUUCGACUUCGCUUGGGGUCAUUUCCGGAAAUGAUGAAACUGUAGGAUAAAUAAUUAUUGUCCUUU